CCUACGGGGGGCAGCAGUGGGGGAUAUUGCACAAUGGGGGGAACCCUGAUGCAGCGACGCCGCGUGGGUGAAGAAGCGCCUCGGCGCGUAAAGCCCUGUCAGCAGGGAAGAAAAUGACGGUACCUGAAGAAGAAGCCCCGGCUAACUACGUGCCAGCAGCCGCGGUAAUACGUAGGGGGCAAGCGUUAUCCGGAUUUACUGGGUGUAAAGGGGGCGCAGACGGCGAUGCAAGCCAGGAGUGAAAGCCCGGGGGCCAACCCCGGGACUGCUCUUGGAACUGCGUGGCUGGAGUGCAGGAGGGGCAGGCGGAAUUCCUGGUGUAGCGGUGAAAUGCGUAGAUAUCAGGAGGAACACCGGUGGCGAAGGCGGCCUGCUGGACUGCAACUGACGUUGAGGCCCGAAAGCGUGGGGAGCAAACAGGAUUAGAUACCCCAGUAGUC
rnacentral:rRNA from 1 species